rnacentral:sRNA from 1 species
CCUGAAAUACAACGAUUUCGGUCUUCGGGCUAACCU